rnacentral:lncRNA from 1 species
CGCCACGAUGCUUUGCCAUGGCGAAGUUGCGAAGUUCGUUCGCUGCUCGCUCGAAGUGCUUGCCCGCUCUGAUACCACAAUGUCACGACCUUAGCUGGAAUUGCCUAAGGCGUGAGGCACCCUUGCGGCCAAAGACGCGAACUUAGCUUGCGUUGCCUAAGUCGCGAGUUACCCUUGUGGCAAAGACGCGAACUUAGCUUGCGUUGCCUAAGUCGCGCUUCGCCCUUGCGAUAUUGCUCCGCAAGGAUCAGCCCACUUUGUAACCUCUCGCAGGUCCCGAAGGACCUGUAAAAGAGAAAGUUGGUUAGUUCGAAAGAACGAGCAACGGACAAGUCCCGAAGUCUCGCGAAAAGGGGAAGCUUUACAAGCAAUUCGACGAACACCUUGUGUGCACAAGAGAAAAGAGGGAGAGGGAGAAAAACAAGGCUUUCAAGGAUUAACGAACAGCUGCAAGCCCACAAACAGCCGCUCACCUGGUCCCGGGCGCGAAGACAAGUUCCCGUAAAGGUCACGUGCGAACUUGCGAAAGAGAGUUCAACGC